GUGGGAUCUUCCCGGACCAGGGCUCGAACACGUGUCCUCUGCACUGGCAGGCGGAUUCCUAACCACUGUGCCACCAGGGAAGUCCCAGGAGUGCAGAUUCUUAAAGGGCCUGGUGAGAGGCAUGGCCAAAUACAUUUACUAACCAGUGUAUUUGCAGAGGCUAAUGUUCUGAGGGUGAAGAGGAUAUUUUGGGGCCAAGUGUAGCAUAAUCUAAAUUUGAUUCUUGCUCAAAAGUGACCACUUAGUUCUAUUUCUAGUUUUUCAUUUUUAAGAGGGAGAGUAGAAUGAAUUUUAUGAAGAUCAACCAUUCUAAUUUAGUCUGCCAUUCAUGGGAAUUGCAUUAGGUAACGGGCGGCCUCCAGCCAGACAGACAGCUAUUAGACUGCUCUCCUACUUGAUAAAUUAGCUUUAUCGGGUCCCUACAGCUUUGCUUUCACCUUGUGAAAUCUGUAUUCAGAGGCCAAGUCCCUUUGCAGUGUUGUUAUCACGCUUAUCCCUGGAGCUCUGGCUUCAGUUCCAAUUUAUAAGAGUAAAAUGGAUUUCAAGGCCUUUUUAUAAAAUAUGACUCAGCUUCAUAUUUAAAGAAAAGACAGGUUAAACACUACUGACAGCCACAUUGGUUGGAAAACUUCUCAGGUGGCAUUGCUCUUAUAAUCAAGAACCUUCUAAGAUAGUUGUUCUCAAACUGUAGCCUUCAUUGGGAUCACCUGGAGGGCUUUGUUAAAAACAAAUUGCUGCGCUCCACUCACAGAUGCAGUCGAUCUCGGGUGGGAUCUGAGAAUUCGCCUUUCUAACAACUUCUAGGUGUUGUUGAUGAUGGGCCUGGGACCAGGGGUGGAGAAUCACACACGUUUACUCUUUUUUUUUUUUUUUACCAACCUCUCUCCACCUCUUUCUUUCUUAAUCUCUAGAUCAUAAUGAUACUCGUUCAGGCCUGUUAUGGGCUGAAUCUUGUCCCCCCAAUUCGUAUAUCGAAGACUUAACCCCCAGUAGGACCCCAGAAUGUGACUGUAUUUGGGGAUGGGGUCUUUAAAUAGGGAAUUAAGAUAAGAUGAGGUCAUCGGGGUGGGACUACAUCCAAUUGAAGACCAUCAUAGAAAAAGGCUGAGCUUGCCUAGGGAAGAGGGAGUUCUGCCAGUGGACUGCAGAGUGGCGACAUCGACCCUGCCCUGGUUCUCCAGCCUGCCGCCUACCCUCCCAACCUCAACAAUUUCCUGCCAUCUGCAAGCUGGAGACCCAGGAAAACUGGUGGUGUAAAUCAGUUGCAGUCCCCAGGCCUGAGAACCAUGGAAGCCCAGGGCAGAAGACAGAUGCCCCAGCUCAAGCAACUGGACUUGCCUCAUGGGUGUGUCGUGGUGGAAAUCAAAGUGUAAAGGCAAUAAUGCCAAAUGAUGACACUCAACCCUGAAAUAGGCAGGCCAUGAGGCAUGUGGGAUCUUAGCUCCCUGACCAGGGAUAGAACCCACACUCCCUGCAUUGGAAGGUGAAGUCUUAACCACCGGACCACCAGGGAAGUCCCCACCAAAUCAUUCUUAAGCUAUGGGCUCUGAAGAAAAAGUAUAGGAGGUCUGUAUGGCUUUCCUUUGCUAAAACAUCUUUCAUUUGUAAGGUUUGAUUCAAAUAAAAGUUGUAAAAGCUUAUUUACUUGUCAUGGGUGUAUAAUACAAGCACGUAUUCUACAGAUAAAGACAAGAAAAAUAGUCACCUAAUAUCAUGCUUUACUCCAUGCACUGACACCCUUAAGACAUAUAUUAAAACAUAUUUGACAUCAUUUUAAUUCAGAUUAUUUCUCUUCAUAAAUAUUUUAUAAAAUUUUAAAGAAAUAAACUAUAUGUUUUUUAUUAUUCAGGCUUAAAUUGAGUCAUUUUU